CUGUGCCUGGGGAUGGCCUCGCCAGGCCGUGGGCCUGCCCUCCCGGGCGCGGAGAGCCAAGGCCGGCCCAGGUGUAGGUCACCCGAAGGAGGCCCGGCCUGAGUGAGGCCCGCGGGCCGCGCAGGCGGAAGCUGGUACUGGGAGCACGGACGACCUGGACACGCCUGAGCACAGGGUGGCUUAAGGAUGUCCUUGAAGAUUUUGAAAUUGGAUCUUCACAAGAAUUGCUUGGAUUAAAGUUUCCAGGAGCCUGAGGCCUGAGUAACUGCCUUUAGAUAAUAAUAAAUACAUAUUUAACACACUGGGGAUAUGAAUAAACACUGACAUGUUUUGA